ACAAAAAUUGAACUACUAGAUUCCAAAGUCUCACAAUUUCAGUGGAAGCAUAUGUUACAUAACAACAAUUUUACAUAGUACACUAAUACUCGCUAUUUAUUCCAAAGAGCAUAAAUAAAACACCAACUUCACUCCUUACUUGAUAAAGUUACACAAACGAACUUCCUCCUCUAGUGUUCAUUACCUGCAAAAUCUGUUAAGGGGUGAGCUCAACCUGCUGCUCAGUAGGGACAUAAAACCUUUUCAUGGAUAAUUGAACACAAAAGGCACUAUCAUGUAUUUCAGUUAUAACAUGCAUAUCAAACAAUGGUGCAAUGCUACUCCACUUACAUACUCGUUAAUCGAUAUGUCAGAAUACACAAGCCUACACGUCUCAUAUCGUGUACUUUACAGUUUUACAACCGUGACUUGAAUAUCCAAACAUAUAAAUUAACUCCCAGACUCGAUCAAAACCCCAUACCCUUCUUUUGCUAGUCAUCUUGCCUGAAAACAUUGAUCUCCAAGCCCAAAUCACCCAAACAUAUCGACAAUUAUACCGCCGAUAUUCUAAUCCUAAUGUGCACACAGGCUCGCGUGAGCUUGAUCCCUACAAUGUUCAGACUCAACUACACAAAAGAUUACUCCUAAAAUCACUAAAUAUCCAUUAGUCCACCCCAACUCCUUUACACUUGAUAAACAACAUGCUAUAUGCAGACAUGCAUACUGAAAUGAAACACACAUAUUUCAUACAUAGAAUCCAAAUAUCAUCAAUGAAAUCAAGACAAACAAUGUUAACUAAAAUGACAUAACAACUAAGCACACAAAAUCAGUAUCCAAUCAUAAAAAGUUCUCCCCAAGAUCCCCCUACCUUUGUCGAUUCUCACAACAAAUUCCUGACCAAGACAACAAGUACUGUUUAGUAAUGCAACUCAUUAGUUCCAGUACUCUAAAUAUAAAGUAUUUAACUGAUAAAACACCCAAACAAACAUGACAAGUCAGUUGAUCUGAAAACAAGUUUACUGAACACAAAGAACUACUGCAGUUUUCUGACCCAGUCACCUUCACCACAAAAACUGUACAAAUUCAUAAGGAAUUUGACUUCAUGGCCUUCUAAAGAAAUAUACUAGACAUCCUAGAGAAGCUUUCAGAAUUUGAAUCACCUCAAAACGAUUUUUCUGUAAUUAGAUAUGCAAUUUCAAAGUUCAGUAACAGUUUCAGGUUUUUCUGAAAAUUUUGCUAAAAGUGCCUAAACUUUGUUUUCAAAAGCAAAACAUAAACUCUGUGAUACAAAACUUCUACGAACUGAACAUAAACACUCCAAUGUUUCAAAAAGAAGGAAAAACACACAGAACUUGCAACUUAAAGACUAACUAAGAUCACCACAAAGAUUGCUAACCGAAUGUAAUAUACAACAGUCUUAACUUCUAAAAUUUCAACAACUUUAAGCAAUCUAAAAUCAUGGUUUCUACUUUCAAAUUUAGGAACUAAUAACAUGUAUGAGAACCACAUAAUCUAAUCAUUACAUAUGUACAAUCUCAUAUCAAAACAACCACGAUUCAAAAACAAAGAGUGCAAUUAAAAACAGAAAUCUGAAAUCACAAACAACUUCCUAACUUUCUAACCAGUAAACUUUAUGGCUAAAACCUAAAAAUGACACAGCUUGGCUAGGAAUUUACAGUUGAUUUCUUCAUAACAAUUGUAAUAGACAUCCUAAAGAUCAAUCAGGAAUUGGAAUCGCACAAAAAAGAUUUUUCUACAUUUACUUAUGAUUUUUCGAAAUUCAGAUACAGUAGAGAAAAACUAAUGACGUAAGUCUAUGUCUCAAGUUCUAAGUAAAGGGUUUAAGACUUGAGAUUUUAACAACAACAUCAUAAACUUGAUUCUCUACCUGCUAAUAACAUAAAGAACUGAUCUAGCUAACAAAAAAAUCAAAUCAAAGAUUACCAAAACCAAAUGAUUUAGUAAUCCUACUUGCCACAGAAUUCAACAACAACAAAACCAAAACCAAAACCAAUACUUAAUAGUAACUAUACAAACAUUCCAUAAUGAUUUCAAAUUCUAAUUUCACAACUAAAAGGAUAUAAACACAAUCAAUUAGUCUGAACAUAAAGAGAAUCUAACCUGAAUUGUUCUUCCUAUGUUCCUACGACACCAGUGUAUCUCUCCCUCUCUCUCCAAGUAUGAAGGGACUUCUAAAAACCUAUCUAAAAAAUGGAGAACA
rnacentral:lncRNA from 1 species